rnacentral:rRNA from 1 species
CAGUCGCCGCGGGAAAACGUAGGGCGCAAGCGUUAUCCGGAAUUAUUGGGCGUAAAGAGCUCGUAGGCGGUUUGUCGCGUCUGCCGUGAAAGUCCGGGGCUCAACCCCGGAUCUGCGGUGGGUACGGGCAGACUAGAGUGAUGUAGGGGAGACUGGAAUUCCUGGUGUAGCGGUGAAAUGCGCAGAUAUCAGGAGGAACACCGAUGGCGAAGGCAGGUCUCUGGGCAUUAACUGACGCUGAGGAGCGAAAGCAUGGGGAGCGAACAGGAUUAGAUACCCGCGUAGUCCCUGUCUCUUAUAA